UUCCAAUUGUUAUUUCUGAAAGCCAGGCAUGAAGAGAGCCAGAAGCUCCUCUGGGCAGUGGGCAAAGGUUGACUUCUGCAGAGGAGUAAACAAUGAAACUGCAAGUAAACAAAGAAGAAAAUGACAUGGCCAGACUGCUUGGAGAAUUGCAUCACUGUUACCAUGAUUUAUGAUUUUGUACCAUGAAAAGACAUGGAAACUCCUUCUGGGUGACAUUAUGUUUCCUUGGAAUCAAGAAGAUCAAAGCAACAUCUGACCUCGGGUGGUUCUUGUGUUGUGCAUUAUGGAAACAGCUACAGCUGCCUUGGAGACUUCCACAUUGCCUGGAGUUUCAGCUGUAAAUUUAGUAGAAUAGCAGGAACUUGAGAGUUGAGGAAGGAAAAUCACUUCUGGGAAGAAGGGAGCCUGUGAAUUUGUAAAUUGUCUAGAAUGAACUAAUACAUUUAACAACUCAUAAAAUCAUAUCCUAGAGCUAAUUUUCUCUACUUUUCUUUACAUAAAAUAGAAUGUAUUUUGCUGUUCUUCAUGGAAGGGGCAAGAAAGUGAGUUGUCUAAUUUCGUUCUAUUCUUGCUAUUCUGUCUCUCUUGUAUAAAUCAGAAAAUUGUUAUUUUGAUGUUGGUCUUUGCUUGUCUAGAACUUCUGCUCUUCCUACAUUUGUCCUUAAGUUAAUAGUUACUUCUCAACUCCUAAUCUAAUAGAUUGCAAGCUUCUACCUUAGAAAAAUAAAGAAAAAAUAUCCCACAAACAAAUAAACCAAAAUAAAGCAAAAAAACCCCAACCCCAAAUCUCAAAACAUUAUUUCAUUUGGAAAUAAUUUCUCUUUGUAAUAUUGCUUAGGUGGUGAGGCACUGAGACAGGAUGCCUGGAGAAGCUGGA